rnacentral:snRNA from 1 species
UUACUUACCUGGCAGGAAAGAUACCAUGACCACUAAGGUGGUUUUCCCAGGGCAAAAUUCAUCCAUUUCACUCAGUGUGCUGACCUCUGCAAUUUCCUCAAAUGUGAUUUGUUGUAAU